rnacentral:rRNA from 1 species
UCCGUAGGUGGAUUAAUAAGUCAGAGGUGAAAUCCUGCAGCUCAACUGUAGAACUGCCUUUGAUACUGUUAAUCUUGAGUCAUUAUGAAGUGGUUAGAAUGUGUAGUGUAGCGGUGAAAUGCAUAGAUAUUACACAGAAUACCGAUUGCGAAGGCAGAUCACUAAUAAUGUACUGACACUGAGGGACGAAAGCGUGGGGGGCGAACAGGAUUAGAUACCCUGGUAGUCC